UACAGGGGGGGCAAGCGUUGUUCGGAAUUACUGGGCGUAAAGGGCCAGUAGGCGGCCAACUAAGUCACACGUGAAAUCCCCAGGCUUAACCUGGGAACUGCGUGUGAUACUGGAUGGCUUGAAUUCGGGAGAGGGAUGCAGAAUUCCAGGUGUAGCGGUGAAAUGCGUAGAUAUCUGGAGGAACACCGGUGGCGAAGGCGGCAUCCUGGACCGGCAUUGACGCUGAGGCGCGAAAGCCAGGGGAGCCAAACAGGAU
rnacentral:rRNA from 1 species